rnacentral:lncRNA from 1 species
CGUAACUCAAAUAACUAACAUACUUCAAUUUUCUCGUAAAGUAAAACUCGUAAUGUGACUCACAACUCGAUUCAAUGCAUGUGAUAUCAAUUUGAACAUCAGAGGUUUGUCACUGAUCUCGUCCACUCAACAAUGGUUCCUCAUUUGAAUCGUGUCACCACUUCUGAACCCCGAGUCCCCGCUUCUAAACUCUGGAAGAUGACAGGUCACCACUUAUGAACUCAUGGCUCGCCUCUUUCAACACACCGACACAAUAUGAUGCAUGACAUACAAUAAUGCAACAACAACAAUUAUGGUUCCACUUCUAACCAUAACCAACAAUGCAAUACAACAUUCAACAGUAGUCCCCGCUUCUGAACUACACACCUCAACAUAACACAUACAAUUAUAUUUGUAGAAAAUAAUUGUAUUCACAACACAACAACUCAUACACAUGAUCAUAAUUCAACACAUUCAAU